CUACGGGGGGCUCCAGUGGGGAAUAUUGCACAAUGGGCGCAAGCCUGAUGCAGCCAUGCCGCGUGUAUGAAGAAGGCCUUCGGGUUGUAAAGUACUUUCAGCGGGGAGGAAGGGAGUAAAGUUAAUACCUUUGCUCAUUGACGUUACCCGCAGAAGAAGCACCGGCUAACUCCGUGCCAGCAGCCGCGGUAAUACGGAGGGUGCAAGCGUUAAUCGGAAUUACUGGGCGUAAAGCGCACGCAGGCGGUUUGUUAAGUCAGAUGUGAAAUCCCCGGGCUCAACCUGAGAACUGCAUCUGAUACUGGCAAGCUUGAGUCUCGUAGAGGGGGGUAGAGUUCCAGGUGUAGCGGUGAAAUGCGUAGAGAUCUGGAGGAAUACCGGUGGCGAAGGCGGCCCCCUGGACGAAGACUGACGCUCAGGUGCGAAAGCGUGGGGAGCAAACAGGAUUAGAUACCCCCGUAGUC
rnacentral:rRNA from 1 species